GACGAACGCUGGUGGCGUGCUUAACACAUGCAAGUCGAACGGGAUUUAGUAAACAGCAGCCUCGGUGGAAGAUUACUAAUGAGAGUGGCGAACGGGUGAGUAACGCGUGAGCAGCCUGCCUAUGACAGUGGGAUAGCCUCGGGACACCGGGCUUAAUACCGCAUAAAAUCGUUGAAACACAUGUUUUAACGGUCAAAGAUUUAUCGGUCAUAGAUGGGCUCGCGUCUGAUUAGCUAGUUGGUGAGAUAACAGCCCACCAAGGCGACGAUCAGUAGCCGGUCUGAGAGGAUGAGCGGCCACAUUGGAAGUGAGGCACGGUCCAAACUCCUACGAGAAGCAGCAGUGGGGAAUAUUGCCCAAUGGGGGAAACCCUGAUGCGGCGACGCCGCGUAAACGAAGAAGGUAUUCGUAUCGUAAAGGUCUGUCAUAUGCGAAGUUAAUGACAGUACCAUAGAAGAAAGGUCCGGCUAAAUACGUG
rnacentral:rRNA from 1 species